rnacentral:lncRNA from 1 species
UGAUGUUCCAACAUAUCAAGUUCAUGAAGGGACAUAAUUAUGCUGUUAUGUGAAAGAAUCAACUCUGUGUGCUCAGCAGACCAUCCAGACACAUCCUAAGCAUUGUGUCUCCGAAGUAGAUCAGUUUAGCUGUGACAUCCUAUAGCAGUAUCUCUAUUAUGUGUCCUGUUCUAUUCAUCAGCAUCUCAACCGAAAAGACACACCCUGGUAAAUGUGACAGUUCCUUUUGGAGAAUGCAGGGAGAAAGACAGAAGAUAUACAUGUUUGACUGUGUGGGCAAGGUCCUUCCUCAAAGAGA